rnacentral:tRNA from 1 species
GCCCACGUAGCUCAGUAGGUAGAGCACGCCCUUGGUAAGGGCGUGGUCAUGGGUUCGACUCCCAUCGUGGGCU